rnacentral:tRNA from 1 species
CAAGACGUAGCUUAGCAAAAGCAUUCAGCUUACGCCUGAAAGAUAUCUGUUCACACCAGAUCGUCUUGA